rnacentral:misc_RNA from 1 species
GAUGAAGAACGUAGCGAAACGCGAUAGGUAAUGUGAAUUGCAGAAUUCAGUGAAUCAUCGAAUCUUUGAACGCACAUUGCGCCCCCUGGUAUUCCGGGGGGCAUGCCUGUCCGAGCGUCAUUACAACCCUCAAGCUCAGCUUGGUAUUGGGCCCCGCCGACCCGGCGGGCCCUAAAGUCAGUGGCGGUGCCGUCCGGCUCCGAGCGUAGUAAUUCUUCUCGCUCUGGAGGUCCGGUCGUGUGCUCGCCAGCAACCCCCAAUUUUUUUCAGGUUGACCUCGGAUCAGGUAGGGAUACCCGCUGAACUUAAGCAUAUCAAUAAGCGGAGGA